UACGUAGGGACCGAGCGUUGUCCGGAAUCAUUGGGCGUAAAGAGCGUGUAGGCGGCCACUUAAGUCCUGCGUGAAAUCUUGCGGCUCAACCGCAAGCGGUCGUGGGAAACUGGGUGGCUAGAGUGCGGGAGAGGAGAGUGGAAUUCCUGGUGUAGCGGUGGAAUGCGCAGAUAUCAGGAAGAACAUCCGUGGCGAAGGCGGCUCUCUGGAACGCAACUGACGCUGAGACGCGAAAGCGUGGGGAGCAAACAGG
rnacentral:rRNA from 1 species